rnacentral:rRNA from 1 species
UACGUAGGGGGCUAGCGUUGUCCGGAUUUAUUGGGCGUAAAGAGCGUGUAGGCGGCCAGAUAGGUCUGCUGUGAAAACUCGAGGCUCAACCUCGAGCUGUCGGCGGAAACCAUCCGGCUAGAGUCCGGAAGAGGAGAGUGGAAUUCCCGGUGUAGCGGUGAAAUGCGCAGAUAUCGGGAGGAACACCAGUGGCGAAGGCGGCACUCUGGGCCGGAACUGACGCUGAGGAGCGAAAGCGUGGGGAGCGAACAGG